CAGAAACACCCUGCUAAAGAACAAGUAUCUUGGUUCACAGCAAAGAGGACAAAGGAAAACAGCAAGUUAUAGGGAGUUGAAUGCUGGAUUAACAGGGGGCUGAAUGACUCAUAUGGCUGAGAUUUUGUACAACUUGACAGUAAAGACAGUGAGAUGAAAGACACUGAGCUAAUCUAGCAGAAGUAAACAUUGGGAGAUUUUACCAAGACAUGGACACAUUAGAGCAUAGUUAUUGAAGAAUGUCCAGAAUCAGAGAAAUUAACCUGGAAAAUAGAAAACUCUGGUAACCUACAAUAGCUGCACUUAAAUACUUAAGAGAUGGUCAUGAGGAAGAAGUAUUAGAUUUAUUCUCUAGAUGUCCUAUUGGGAAAAAUGGCAACAUGGUUGUGAGUUGAUUGCUAGGAACUGAGGUGGUGAGAGAUAAGGCUGGAGAGUACAAAGGGUCCAAGGCACAAAGAAGUUGCCAUACUAAGAGAGUGAAUAAGGAGAAAAUACAGAAGGGCUGUAUGCAGUGGAAAAACAGGAGCAAGUUUUGUAUUUUUGGAAGGUCUUUGGUUGACUGCGAAAGCAGAGGCUGGCAUCAAAAGAUGUUGGGAGGAGGGUGCUCCCUAUGAAUGGGGUCCAGAUAGAAUAACCUCAAGACAUUUAGAUUUUAACUACGAAUGUACAACUUUGGGGAAAAUCAAAGCACUGCUUAAUUGCUUUUCCAGAAUUAUCCUGUGGUCACAAUCGCUCUUAAAAUUAACAGAAAGGCAAGGUUUAUAUUUCCUUGAGAAAAUUUAAAAAUUCUAGUCUAGAAAUAGCUCACACAGAAAUACAGUGAAUGAGAAAAAGGAACACUGUAAUAAAUUAUAAACUGGAAUUUAAUUAGCAGGGAAAACUAAGCAUAAAGCAAUUCAAAAUAGGCUUGCUUGAGACAGGCUUUGGUUUCUGAAGCUUUAGAAAAUAAGCUUACUCAUACACAGAAAAAAAAUGUGGCAUUGAAAUAUUGUUACCAUCAUCAUCAUCAUCAUCGACUAGAAC